CUGGUGUUUCUUUAUGCAGCAACUGUAGAUGCAUGGUUCUUGCAAAACGGUAUCCAAUUAGAGGGUACUUUUAUGUGUGUGCUAAAGUAUUUAUCAACGACUACUUUGCUCAGGAGAUUAGGGCAAAUCCAGACAGAACCUUUGACUUGGUGUUGAAAGUGAAAUGUCAUGCCUCUGAAAAUGAAGAGGACAGUCCAGCUUAUCUGCCGAGGAUUCCCCCUGGAAAAGUACGCCGAUUCGCAUUUUGCAUUAAGAAACUGGAAAACUUUCCUGUCGGUCCUGGCGUAGCGCCUCCCGUGUCCGGGGUAGACCUUGUACCGGCUGAAACCGCAUAGCUCGACCUUCAUGGCGGCAGCUCCACGGGAGGAGAAAAGAUGGCCCCAACCUGUAUUUUCGAGUAAUACCCUUUAGAAUUCAUAAAAGUCUAAGAACACUUUGUAAAUGGAAUGUUUCAUAGUUCACACUAAAGUAAACAUAAACUGUUAAGCAAAACUUUAGAUCACUUCUUCUAACAAAGGAAAUGUACCCGAGAACCCAUGAGAAGUAGCUUCAGAGUAUUUUUUUUUAACAGUGAAUUCUCUGAGGUCUUGGACUUUUAAAUUUUAUUUAGUUUAAUUGCCAAAAGCCAAGGUGGAGCUGUGUAGCAUUCUGAGGAAAUAAAACCACUUGAAGCAGAGGUAUAGUAGAAUAAAGCCAUUCUGCCUCCAGUAUUUGGGUGGAUGUAUUUGGUACU
rnacentral:lncRNA from 1 species